CAGCAAGACCCCAGACUCUAGAAGAAAAAGACCAAAAAGAUUUCUGUUAGGAACAGAACAUAAUCUGAAAUGAUACAGAACUGUACUUAUAACAGCUCAUUUAUUUCUCAGAUAGUCCUAUGAAACAAACAUUGCCAAUGCCAAUUUCACAGGUGAGAAAAUGGAAGCUUGGAGGAGUGAAGGAAGUUGCCCAAGGCCCUAUAGCUAGUGGAUGGCCGGGCUGGGACUCCAUCGCCAGGCCUGCAGUCCUUUCACUUCUGCCACGCUCCCUGGGGAGUGAAGGCAGAGGGAGGCGUUUUCAUGUCCAAGGGCCCUGUGGAGGACUCACCAUAGGAGGGUCUCAGGGGCCAUCUACUAUCAUCUUUUGAAGCCUGCCAAGUGCCAGGCAUGCAGGUGUGGGGACAGGGUUAUGAACCAAUAUGGACAGAGUCCAUGGAGUAGUAGAAGACAUAGAAUCAGCAAGUAUAUGUGGGUCAUGGGGCGGUAGGUACCAUGAAAACAUUAAGUAGGGUAAGGAUGAUGGUGCUAUGUUUACAGAAAGUCAAGGAAAUUGGAAUGGCACAUCCAUCCAUCAGACCCAUAAGUGGGUCUGGGAAAAAAAGAAAGAUGCUUGGCCAGGCACAGUGGUUCA
rnacentral:lncRNA from 1 species